rnacentral:rRNA from 1 species
GACGAACGCUGGCGGCGUGCUUAACACAUGCAAGUCGAACGGAAAGGCCCUGCUUUUGUUGGGUGCUCGAGUGGCGAACGGGUGAGUAACACGUGAGUAACCUCCCCUUGACUUUGGGAUAACUUCAGGAAACUGGGGCUAAUAUCGGAUAGGAGCUCCUGCUCCAUGGUGGUGGUUGGAAAGUUUCGGCGGUUGGGGAUGGACUCGCGGGUUAUCCGCUUGUUGGUGAGGUAGGUGCUUACCAAGGCUAAGACGGGUAGCCGGCCUGAGAGGGGGACCGGGCACAAGGGGACUACGGGAGGGCCCAGAAGGCUACGGGCGGCAGCAGUGGGGAGUAUGGCGCAGUGGGGGGAAGCGUGAUGCAGAAGCGCCGGGUGCGGGAUGACGGGCUACGGGGUGUAAACCGAUGUCUCCGGAAAUGAGGAGUGAGUGACGGUAAUGAGUAAAGAAGCACCGGCUAACUACGUG